rnacentral:misc_RNA from 1 species
UGUUGAUCCUUAGGGAAAUUUUGCGCUAGAAUGUAUUGAUUAGAAUAUCAAUCCAACUUUAUUAUGUAUAUUCAACAUCUCAUUUGAUCACUUAGCAACUAAAUUGAAUUAGCUUUGCUGGCUUUCAGUAAUUUCAGCAUGGAUUUGUUAGUUUUCUGCUGGUCUAGCAUCAAUGACAGUCAGUUUUGGAAGGUCUGCAUAAGUUUUUAACCAUUAGUUUAGCAACCACGUGGAUGACAUGCUCUGCAGGGAUGUUCUGCUAUCAUAAAA